rnacentral:rRNA from 1 species
GAUCAACGCUGGCGGCGUGCCUAAUGCAUGCAAGUCGAACGGGGGUCGCUUCGGCGAUCUUACGUGGCGGACGGGUGAGGAACACGUGGCCAAUCUGCCCACCGGCAGGGGGUAGCCCGCGGAAACGCGGGGUAAUUCCGUAUACGGUCGAGGUCCGAGUGGGGACCUUGAGGAAAGGGCCUUCGGGCUCGCCGGUGGAGGAGGCUGCGGCCGAUUAGCUGGUUGGUGGGGUCACGGCCUACCAAGGCGAUGAUCGGUAGCUGGUCUGAGAGGAUGAUCAGCCACACGGGGACUGAGACACGGCCCCGACUCCUACGGGAGGCAGCAGCAAGGAAUUUUCCGCAAUGGGCGCAAGCCUGACGGAGCAACGCCGCGUGCGGGAUGACGCUUUUCGGAGUGUAAACCGCUGUUCGGGGGGACGAAGCACUGACGGUACCCCCGGAGGAAGGCCCGGCUAACUACGUGCCAGCCGCCGCCGUAAAA